AUUGAACGCUGGCGGCAUGCUUUACACAUGCAAGUCGAACGGGCUUAGGGGCUUGCUCCUAAGUUAGUGGCGAACGGGUGAGUAAUGCAUCGGAACGUACCGUGUAGUGGGGGAUAACCCGGCGAAAGUCGGAUUAAUACCGCAUACGAUCUAAGGAUGAAAGCAGGGGAUCACAAGACCUUGCGCUAUACGAGCGGCCGAUGUCGGAUUAGCUAGUUGGUAGGGUAAAGGCCUACCAAGGCAACGAUCCGUAGUGGGUCUGAGAGGAUGAUCCGCCACACUGGGACUGAGACACGGCCCAGACUCCUACGGGAGGCAGCAGUGGGGAAUUUUGGACAAUGGACGAAAGUCUGAUCCAGCCAUGCCGCGUGAGUGAAGAAGGCCUUCGGGUUGUAAAGCUCUUUUGUCCGGGAGCAAAUCCUGUUCACUAAUACUGAGCGGGGCUGAGAGUACCGGAAGAAUAAGCACCGGCUAACUACGUGCCAGCCGCCGCCGUAACAC
rnacentral:rRNA from 1 species